rnacentral:rRNA from 1 species
GACGUAGGGGGCGAACGUUAUCCGGAAUUAUUGGGCGUAAAGGGUGCGUAGAUGGCAUAACAAGUUAUUAGUGGAAAAUCGGGGCUCAACCUCGUGGAAGCUAUUAAUACUGUUUUGCUUGAGUACAGGAGAGGUUAACGGAACUCUUUGUGUAGGGGUAAAAUCCCAUGAUAUAAAGAUGAACACCAAUAACGGCGAAGGCAGUUAACUAUGCUGUUACUGACAUUGAGGCACGAAAGCGUGGGGAGCAAAACGG